rnacentral:lncRNA from 1 species
GUCUCUUCCGGCGGUCUCUUCUAUUACCGUCGAUCUGGGCUUCACACCAGGAGGCGGGGUGGUUGUUACGUAACUCACAGACCUUUUGUUUUUCAGGCUAUUCUCAUAGCACUUCUUCGCUUCUUUCUGGUCGGAUUUGAUGGUGAUCACCACCCCCUCCAUAGACGGCAACUUCACCUUCAUGUGCCGGGUCGACGGUAUA